GACGAACGCUGGCGGCGUGCCUAAUACAUGCAAGUCGAACGCAGUGGGGACGGGUGAGUAACACGUGGGUAACCUCCCAUCAGAGGGGAUAACACUUGGAAACAGGUGCUAAACCGAUACUGAAUGAUGGACCCGGGGUGCAUUAGCUAGUUGGUGAGGUAACGGCUCACCAAGGCACGGAGGCAUAGCCGACCUGAGAGGGUGAUCGGCCACACUGGAACUGAGACACGGCCCAGACUCCUACGGUAGGCAGCAGUAGGGAAUCUUGGGCAAUGGACGAAAGUCGUACCGAGAAACGCCGCGUGAGUGAAGAAGGGUUUCGGAUCGUAAAACUCUGUUGUUAGAGAAGCGGUAUCUAACCAGAAAGCCACGGCUAACUACGUGCCAGACGCCGCGGUAAUAC
rnacentral:rRNA from 1 species